rnacentral:rRNA from 1 species
ACGUAGGGGGCAAGCGUUGUCCGGAAUUACUGGGCGUAAAGAGCACGUAGGCGGUUUAUUAAGUCAGAUGUGAAAGGUUGCGGCUUAACUGUGGAAUGGCAUUUAAAACUGGUAGACUUGAGUCUCGGAGAGGUAAGGGGAAUUCCUAGUGUAGCGGUGAAAUGCGUAGAGAUUAGGAAGAACACCAGUGGCGAAGGCGGCUUACUGGACGAGUACUGACGCUCAGGUGCGAAAGCGUGGGGAGCAAACAG